rnacentral:rRNA from 1 species
GACGAACGCUGGCGGCAGGCCUAACACAUGCAAGUCGAACGAGUGGCGGACGGGUGAGUAAUGUCUGGGAAACUGCCUGAUGGAGGGGGAUAACUACUGGAAACGGUAGCUAAUACCGCAUACCAUCAGAUGUGCCCAGAUGGGAUUAGCUAGUUGGUGGGGUAACGGCUCACCAAGGCGACGAUCCCUAGCUGGUCUGAGAGGAUGACCAGCCAAACUGGAAACGGGACACCGUCCCGACUCCCACGGGGGGCAGGAGUUGGGAAUAUUGGACAAUUGGGGGAAGCCUGGCGCCGCCAUGCCCGGGGUUAGAAGAAGGGCUUCGGGUUGUAAAAUACUUUCAGCGGGGAGGCGUUACCCGCAGAAGAAGCACCGGCUAACUCCGUGCCAGCAGCCGCGGUAAUUC